GGAAUUCGAUUGUKUGRUCCUGGCUCAGGACGAACGCUGGCGGCGCGCCUAACACAUGCAAGUCGAACGAGAGAGAGGGAGCUUGCUUCCUCGAUCGAGUGGCGAACGGGUGAGUAACGCGUGAGGRACCUGCCUCAAAGAGGGGGACAACAGUUGGAAACGACUGCUAAUACCGCAUAAGCCCACAGGUCGGCAUCGACAGAGGGAAAAGGAGCAAUCCGCUUUGAGAUGGCCUCGCGUCCGAUUAGCUAGUUGGUGAGGUAAUGGCCCACCAAGGCAACGAUCGGUAGCCGGACUGAGAGGUUGAACGGCCACAUUGGGACUGAGACACGGCCCAGACUCCUACGGGAGGCAGCAGUGGGGAAUAUUGCACAAUGGGGGAAACCCUGAUGCAGCGACGCCGCGUGGAGGAAGAAGGUCUUCGGAUUGUAAACUCCUGUUGUUGAGGAGAUAAUGACGGUACUCAACAAGGAAGUGACGGCUAACUACGUGCCAGCAGCCGCGGUAAAACGUAGGUCACAAGCGUUGUCCGGAAUUACUGGGUGUAAAGGGAGCGCA
rnacentral:rRNA from 1 species